UACGGGGGGGGUAAGCGUUGUUCGGAAUUACUGGGCGUAAAGGGCUCGUAGGCGGCCAACUAAGUCAUACGUGAAAUCCCUCAGCUUAACUGGGGAACUGCGUGUGAUACUGGAUGGCUUGGAUUUGGGAGAGGGAUGCGGAAUUCCAGGUGUAGCGGUGAAAUGCGUAGAUAUCAGGAGGAACACCGGUGGCGAAGGCGGCUCUCUGGACCACAACUGACGCUGAGGCGCGAAAGCUAGGGGAGCAAACAGG
rnacentral:rRNA from 1 species